AAUUGCGGCCGGCUGGGUUCAGCUCUCUGGCUCUUCAGACUGGCGCUCCCACCAGAACAUUCCUUACGGCAUCCUCCUGGGGCUCUUCUCCAUCGCUCCUUUUACUCUCUCCGGAUCUGGGGAACCAAGCUCCGGCCUCCACGCUUCUGCAUUCGGUCUUCCCAGCAGCCCUCUGAGGUCGUCAGGGUGGAAUGAGUCUUACUUGACAGAUGAGGAGACUCAGACGCGAGGUCCUGGAGUCCGUCUCCAAAGCACGUCGGAAGGAGGGCGAGGUCUCGCUCCGUUCUCCUGACUCCACGUGGAUAGUCUUUCUGCUUCAGGCAGGUGGUGCUGUGCUGUGUGCUACAGAUUCCACUGAGUGGGACCCUAAGGCCCAGCGGAACCCCCAUGGCUCCUCCUUGCUCAUUCCAGCAACGAAGCCCACCUGUCCUGUAGAGCGCCCUCCGGUUUCCAGGCCUUGGAUCAGGCCCAUCUGCCCCCUGAGACGCCCUCUCCCUUCCGCUCCAGCUUGCCUGACUCCCAUCUCUGAAAGAUGAACCCUUGGCUACUUCCUCUGGGAGCUUCUUCCCGACUGUCUGGCCUUCCAGGAUCCUCCCCUCCCAGCGGUCCAGUGUCUGAUUCCACGUAGCCUGACCGAUCCGGGGGUGUUUGCCUGGUCUUCUCAGCUGGAUGGAGAGCUUUGGUGGGAGACAUACAUGGUUUCAACAAAGUAAUGAUACUAACAACAGUAGCAGCUCCUACCCCAUCCUGAGCAGGACUGAUGGGGGCCCCAAGCCAAAGAACCCUCUCACUGUGGAUCCUUCCCAGAAUCCUG
rnacentral:lncRNA from 9 species